rnacentral:tRNA from 1 species
GGGGCUGUAGCUCAAAGAUCUGAGCACUGCCGAUAACGGCUGCGGUUGCGGGUUCAAAUCCUGUCAGCCCCC